UAGGGAAUCUUCGGCAAUGGGGGGAACCCUGACCGAGCAACGCCGCGUGAGUGAAGAAGGUUUUCGGAUCGUAAAGCUCUGUUGUUAAGGAAGAACGAGUGUGAGAAUGGAAAGUUCAUACUGUGACGGUACUUAACCAGAAAGGGACGGCUAACUACGUGCCAGCAGCCGCGGUAAUACGUAGGUCCCGAGCGUUGUCCGGAUUUAUUGGGCGUAAAGCGAGCGCAGGCGGUUAGAAAAGUCUGAAGUGAAAGGCAGUGGCUCAACCAUUGUAGGCUUUGGAAACUGUUUAACUUGAGUGCAGAAGGGGAGAGUGGAAUUCCAUGUGUAGCGGUGAAAUGCGUAGAUAUAUGGAGGAACACCGGUGGCGAAAGCGGCUCUCUGGUCUGUAACUGACGCUGAGGCUCGAAAGCGUGGGGAGCGAACAGGAUUAGAUACCCUGGUAGUCCAUGCCGUAAACGAUGAGUGCUAGGUGUUGGAGGGUUUCCGCCCUUCAGUGCCGGAGCUAACGCAUUAAGCACUCCGCCUGGGGAGUACGACCGCAAGGUUG
rnacentral:rRNA from 1 species